CUUUUUGCUAAUUUUGUGCUUAAAACAGCCGAGAAUUUUCGAGCACUCUGCGUAGGGGAUAAGGGGAAUGGAAAGAAUACCGGAAACCCAUUGCACUACAAAGGAUGUGUAUUCGAUAUUAUCUUUAAGGGCUCCGUCGCUCAAGCAGGUGAUCUCACGAAAAACAAUGGCUUUGAUGAGAACAUCUUUUCACAAAAUUCUCGAGGUAC